GACGAACGCUGGCGGCACGCCUAACACAUGCAAGUCGAACGGACUUACAAGAGCUUGCUUUUUUAAGUUAGUGGCGGACGGGUGAGUAACACGUGAGCAACCUGCCUCUGAGAGUGGGAUAGCUUCUGGAAACGGAUGGUAAUACCCCAUAAAAUAUAAAUAUCGCAUGAUAGAGAUAUCAAAGAAAUUCGCUCAGAGAUGGGCUCGCGUCUGAUUAGAUAGUUGGUGAGGUAACGGCUCACCAAGUCGACGAUCAGUAGCCGGACUGAGAGGUUGAACGGCCACAGUGGGACUGAGACACGGCCCAGACUCCUACGGGAGGCAGCAGUGGGGAAUAUUGCACAAUGGAGGGAACUCUGAUGCAGCGAUGCCGCGUGGAGGAAGAAGGUUUUCGGAUUGUAAACUCCUUUUAUCAGGGACGAUAAUGACGGUACCUGAAGAAAAAGCACCGGCUAACUACGUG
rnacentral:rRNA from 1 species